GAUGAACGCUGGCGGCGUGCCUAAUACAUGCAAGUCGAGCGAACGGACGAGAAGCUUGCUUCUCUGAUGUUAGCGGCGGACGGGUGAGUAACACGUGGAUAACCUACCUAUAAGACUGGGAUAACUUCGGGAAACCGGAGCUAAUACCGGAUAAUAUUUUGAACCGCAUGGUUCAAAAGUGAAAGACGGUCUUGCUGUCACUUAUAGAUGGAUCCGCGCUGCAUUAGCUAGUUGGUAAGGUAACGGCUUACCAAGGCAACGAUGCAUAGCCGACCUGAGAGGGUGAUCGGCCACACUGGAACUGAGACACGGUCCAGACUCCUACGGGAGGCAGCAGUAGGGAAUCUUCCGCAAUGGGCGAAAGCCUGACGGAGCAACGCCGCGUGAGUGAUGAAGGUCUUCGGAUCGUAAAACUCUGUUAUUAGGGAAGAACAUAUGUGUAAGUAACUGUGCACAUCUUGACGGUACCUAAUCAGAAAGCCACGGCUAACUACGUGCCAGCAGCCGCGGUAAUACGUAGGUGGCAAGCGUUAUCCGGAAUUAUUGGGCGUAAAGCGCGCGUAGGCGGUUUUUUAAGUCUGAUGUGAAAGCCCACGGCUCAACCGUGGAGGGUCAUUGGAAACUGGAAAACUUGAGUGCAGAAGAGGAAAGUGGAAUUCCAUGUGUAGCGGUGAAAUGCGCAGAGAUAUGGAGGAACACCAGUGGCGAAGGCGACUUUCUGGUCUGUAACUGACGCUGAUGUGCGAAAGCGUGGGGAUCAAACAGGAUUAGAUACCCUGGUAGUCCACGCCGUAAACGAUGAGUGCUAAGUGUUAGGGGGUUUCCGCCCCUUAGUGCUGCAGCUAACGCAUUAAGCACUCCGCCUGGGGAGUACGACCGCAAGGUUGAAACUCAAAGGAAUUGACGGGGACCCGCACAAGCGGUGGAGCAUGUGGUUUAAUUCGAAGCAACGCGAAGAACCUUACCAAAUCUUGACAUCCUUUGACAACUCUAGAGAUGGAGCCUUCCCCUUCGGGGGACAAAGUGACAGGUGGUGCAUGGUUGUCGUCAGCUCGUGUCGUGAGAUGUUGGGUUAAGUCCCGCAACGAGCGCAACCCUUAAGCUUAGUUGCCAUCAUUAAGUUGGGCACUCUAAGUUGACUGCCGGUGACAAACCGGAGGAAGGUGGGGAUGACGUCAAAUCAUCAUGCCCCUUAUGAUUUGGGCUACACACGUGCUACAAUGGACAAUACAAAGGGCAGCGAAACCGCGAGGUCAAGCAAAUCCCAUAAAGUUGUUCUCAGUUCGGAUUGUAGUCUGCAACUCGACUACAUGAAGCUGGAAUCGCUAGUAAUCGUAGAUCAGCAUGCUACGGUGAAUACGUUCCCGGGUCU
rnacentral:rRNA from 1 species